rnacentral:rRNA from 1 species
UACAGAGGUCCCAAGCGUUGUUCGGAUUCAUUGGGCGUAAAGGGUGCGUAGGUGGCGCCGUAAGUCAGGUGUGAAAUUUCGGAGCUUAACUCCGAAACUGCAUUUGAUACUGCGGUGCUUGAGGACUGGAGAGGAGACUGGAAUUUACGGUGUAGCAGUGAAAUGCGUAGAUAUCGGGAGGAACACCAGUGGCGAAGGCGACUACCUGGCCUGUUCUUGACGCUGAGGCGCGAAAGCUAGGGGAGCAAACGGG